GGCGCCGACGGGCGGGGCGGGUGCGGAUGCGGAUGCCGGACCGUUAAGCUGUUCUGUGCGCUCCGCCACCGGUGCUAAGACGAGCACUCUCCUGGCGGCCGCGAUCCGUCUGGGGAGGCUGCUGCGGAGUGUGGAGACUCGCGUGAGCAUGCCUUUCUCGCUCCUGGGGAGGAGCAAGGAAAGGAUACGGAGCCAAGGGAGCUCCGAGGAGGGAGCCCCCAGAUGCAUGGGGCAGCCAGGAAUGUCCGGGAACCUCCGCUUCCCGUGCCAAGGGCUGGCGAGUUCGUGGGACCCAGAGCGCUUCUUCGGGGCCCCGGGCUUCCCCAGCAUCUAGGGAAAGGACCUUGGCUCCUCUUUGUCAACUGUCUGCCAGGGAGUCCCCGCCUUGAACUUCCUAACCUUUUGUAUCCUGGUUGGGCCUUCCCAUGCUAUCGGAUACUAGAAUGUCAUUCCCAACCUACUCUGGGAUUCUUCACUGAAACCCCUGCUUUAGUCAAGACAGCCAUGCCCCAGUCUGGACCGUUUGCUUGGAACCCAUCAUUUUGCAGGCCACCCCUUCCUUCUCUUAUUCUGGACAUGCACCUUCUGAUUUGAAAAUGUUUAGCCUUUCACCACUACCACCCCACACUGAAAUUAGUCGUCCUUACGCUGGCAUUUGUUGUUGCAAGUCUACAGUCCUUAGAUCUUUCAAGAAGACAAAGAGUAACGCCUGGAACAAAAAGGGAGCAGAUCCUGUGCGGACCUUCCUUUUCUUCAUUUGACCUUUCAGCACGGUUGCCCCCAAAAUCCCCUUGGUCAUUCUAACUUGUUAAUACUAUCCCCCCCCCCCCCCGCCCCGCCGCCGCAAUGAUUCCUUGCUUCUUCUGGUACCAAGCAUCACCAUUGUUAAUGGCUAAAGGGGGUGAAGAUAAUAACAAAACCAGCCUAAAUUAAUGCUGAGAAGUCAUAAACUUGACCCACAGUUCCACUAGUUGACCAAAUCAUUUAACCAGAGACUGAUGUUAUUUGUGUGACUAGGUAUAGCCUGACACAAAGGUCACUUUAGGGACUAUGCUAUAGAUUGUUUGUUACACUCAAAACCAGCAGUAGAUAAAAGUACACAAUGUUGCAGACCUGUAAUCCUGGCCCUCAGGAGGCAAGGCUAGAGGAUCAGAAAUUCAAUAUAAUCCUCAGGUAGGUAGGUAUGUUCAAGCCAAGCCAGGUAUCCAUGAAACCCUGUCUGGGGGCGGUGGAGGGGCUGUGGGGCUGUACAGUCUUUAUCUUACUGAUAACUCAUAAACUGUCGCCUGACCUCAGAAAAGAGUCUAUCUAAACCAAUUUUCAUAGCUUGCCCACAGGCAUCCUUUCACAAGAAUCUACAACCAAAUUCAGCACCCUACACAGCCUACAAGUUGUUUCAUUUCUCUUCCUGUGUUGGAAAUAAGCAUUCAUAUUGUUGUUAACCAGUUGGGAGUUCAUUUAUUUAAUAAAUUCUCAUUGACCCAGACUCAAGAGCUUCACAUCAUCAUUGAUUAUUGCUCUUCAUCACCCCUCCACAGAAACCUGUACCAGCCCUUGUCCUUGAAAACAAUUACCCUUUCCUCCUGGUUGAAAUGAAUCCUUCCACUUCAAUGCCUCUGUAUCUCUUUAUUUGUUCACAAUAGCUGUAAUGUACUUAAUUGUAUAUUAAUAAUGCAAGACAAUGGGCUUGCUGAAAAACUGAAUUCAAUGACAGCAAAGAGCUGGGUGAGCCUACAAGAACAGGAAAUGGACACCUCUGGGCAUUGUUAGGCAACCCUUCAAAGAGAAACCUGGGCACAGAUGCACCAGAGGUCACCAUCUCUCCUGGGAGGGGCAGAAACAAGGAUGGGAAAACAAAGGUAUAAUCAGAAACAUUGAUAACAUCCUGCUGAAUCCUGACUCAUUGACUUCGCAAGCUGCUUCCACAGUCAAGGGAGUCACAUCUAUUUGCCUUCGAACUCUUUUGCUGUUGGUUCUGAGGCUGAGGUCCUUCUCUAAGCAAGGAAUUAUUCAAAGGACAACUACUAACAGGAAAAUGUAUGAUGUUGAAAGGCUCCUGGCGCUGAGUUGUUUUUGCUUCCUGCAGCUGUUACUUUAUUUCUUCUCUUACUAUAACCAACUCGGCACACUCUCAUAAAGCAGUUUGAAGCUCUUCAUCAAAACGACAAUGUUAAAGGUUUUACAAUGACUCGGGCAUCCAACCAGAAAUGACUCUGUGGGGGAGUAGAUGCUCUGAUUCCCCACCCACCCCACCCCUGCAGAGCCUGAAAGUCCCUAUAUGGAGAGGAGGCUAGCCUUGAAGUCACAGGUCCAUGUGCUUCUGCCUUCUGAGUGGUGGGGUUAAAGGUGUGCAUUACUACAUAUGAUUUGAUUUUCUUUAAAUAUACCACACUUCUGAUAAAAAUAUUUCAGUUGAAAA
rnacentral:lncRNA from 1 species